rnacentral:rRNA from 1 species
UUCCGGUUGAUCCCGCCGGACCCGACUGCUAUCGGGGUGGGGCUAAGCCAUGGGAGUCGCACGACCCGCCGCUGCGGGGAGUGGCGGACGGCUGAGUAACACGUGGCUAACCUACCCUCGGGACGGGGAUAACCCCGGGAAACUGGGGCUAAUCCCCGAUAGGCGAGGAGGCCUGGAAUGGUUCCUCGCCCAAAGGGGGCACCGGGGGUUAUCGCCGGUGUCGCCGCCCGAGGAUGGGGCUGCGGCCCAUCAGGUAGUUGGCGGGGUAAUGGCCCGCCAAGCCGAUAACGGGUAGGGGCCGUGAGAGCGGGAGCCCCCAGAUGGGCACUGAGACAAGGGCCCAGGCCCUACGGGGUGCACCAGGCGCGAAACCUCCGCAAUGCGGGCAACCGUGACGGGGUCACCCCGAGUGCCACCCACGUGGUGGCUUUUCCCCGCUGUAGGAAGGCGGGGGAAUAAGCGGGGGGCAAGACUGGUGUCAGCCGCCGCGGUAAUACCAGCCCCGCGAGUGGUCGGGAUGUUUACUGGGCCUAAAGCGCCCGUAGCCGGCCCGGUAAGUCUCUGCCUAAAGCCCCGGGCUCAACCCGGGGAGUGGCGGAGAUACUGCCGGGCUAGGGGGCGGGAGAGGCCGAGGGUACUCCCGGGGUAGGGGCGAAAUCCUAUAAUCCCGGGAGGACCACCAGUGGCGAAGGCGCUCGGCUGGAACGCGCCCGACGGUGAGGGGCGAAGGCCGGGGGAGCAAACCGGAUUAGAUACCCGGGUAGUCCCGGCUGUAAACGAUGCGGGCUAGGUGUUGGGCGGGCGGUAGAGCCCGCCCAGUGCCGCAGGGAAGCCGUUAAGCCCGCCGCCUGGGGAGUACGGCCGCAAGGCUGAAACUUAAAGGAAUUGGCGGGGGAGUACCACAAGGGGUGGAGCCUGCGGCUUAAUUGGAUUCAACGCCGG